AAAAAGAAAAGCAAUACAUGAACCUAAGACCGCUGACUGCCGGGUCACCAAAAGAUUGUUGCUGAAUUUGUGUUUGCUUUUGAAUUGAAAUAAUUGACUGUGAAAAGAAGAAGCCAGUUGAAAGUAUAUAUUUACAGCUUCUAUUUGAAUAGCUAUUUUAAAGCUCGACUAUUAUAUUUAUCACUUGGGAAUGCACAUAUUUUUUUUUUCGAUUAUAACCCUUUGGCAAUC
rnacentral:lncRNA from 1 species